GAUAUUGGGUUUUGAGGAGCAGAGGACCGAGCUCUACUGGAGAUGUAAAAGUACUGACUGGAGAUGGGAUCUCAAAGCCGUAGGCUAGCACAAGUCAUAUUUCAACACUUUGUGUGUUAAAUGUUAAAAAGUGCUUGUGUUAAAUGAUAUGAAUUAGCAAGCCAAGGACGAGUAUUUUGCAUUUAAGAAGGCACUGAGCCUUCUGGGCUUAUAGAAUGCAGGGUAUCUGCAACGGAGGAGUCUUUGAGAGUUGUAGGUUUGUUGAUUUCUCAGAAAACAUCUAAUACUUUUUAGCAUUACUUUUGCAAAUUUUCUGGCAAACUCUAUUUGGAAAACUUAGAAUAUCGAGGGUGGGGAAUCAUCUGUACUUCACGGAAGGGAAAUCAGAGAUCUUGGGUGUAUAUUGUGAAGGUUAAUUUUACAUGUCAGAUUUACCAAGGCCAUGUGGUGCCCAGAUAUUUGAUCAAAUAUUAUUUGGGUGUUUCAGUGAGAAUAAUUUUGGAUGAGAUGAACAUUGAAAUCAGUAGGCUGAGUAAAGCAGAUAGUCCUCCAUAAUGUGGGUGGGUCUCAUCCAAUAAGUUGAAGGUCUGUAUAGAACAAAAAUGCUAGUUCUCCUUCAAGUAGGAAAGAAUUUUUUCUUUCUGAUGGCCUUCAAACUAGAACAUCACCUUUUUCUUCUCUUUGAACUCAAAAGGAAAUAUUUGUUCUUCCUGCUGGCGUUUGGACUGGAACUACAUCAUCAGCUCUCCUGAUCUUCAGCUUACGAAAUCAGCUUGCAGAUUUAGGGAUUGCCAGCCUCUGUAAUUGGGAAGAAAAAUGGAAAGCUGUGAGGAAGUAAAGUCAUCAUUAGGAGAAAGUCACCGACGUGCCUCGGCUUCCUGCUUCCCUGGACUCUAGAUGCUACAGCAGUGGAGGAAAAAGAAGUCCUCCAAAGCUAGGACUCGGGACUGUCUUCGUUAUGCGUCCUUCCUAACUGGGGUCGAGGAUCUGGGGCCACCCAGACGCAGUAAGACUUUGCUGAGUGAAACCAGAAAAGUCACUGCAUAAGAACAAGGAGAGAGGAGGGGAGUGUUGGCAGAAGAGGCCAAAGGGGGGAAGAGAAGACUUCCUGCAAUCCUUUCCAAUUCAGGAUGACAAUGACAUGCAUGGAACCUUCUCCAGACAGAGAUAAUCAGCCUCAGAAGUUCAAGUUCCUUCACUACCUGCCUCUCCCUCUCCGGGAGCUUUCCCCAGACCUUUCCUAGGUACAAGUAUCCUAUGAUGUCCCAUAUUUUCCACUGACCCUACCAAACGGCUGCCUGAAGGCCUUGUGCAUCUUGAAGCCAUUCACACAGACCGCCACCACUGGCUCUACCAUUAACUGCCUGGAAGAAGCAAGCAGAGUUGAGUACUUUUUCCCUUUAUCAGCUGAAACCUAGCUUUUCCUCUCAACACAUGCUUUGUUGUAUCAGCAAGUACCUGCUGGCUCCUACUUAGAUGUUGGUUAAUUAUGGAAAGGUUUGGGGUAGGAAAGAUGGAUUAUUACAGGUCUUCUUUAAGGUUUAAUGACACGCUAAAGAAAGAAUUCUGUGUACUAUACGUGCCUUUGUGUCUGUUCUCAAACACUAUCAGAUAAGACCGUGGCAGAAGCUAGAAGUUCAAAGUCAAAGAGUAAUAAAUUCUCAUUGAUGCAAAGUCAUCCAUAAAAUAGGAUAAAUCUAGGAUUAAACAAGGUAGCCUCACCUCAGAGCUCUUGACUUUCCCAAACUUUUGGAAGUCAGUUAUAAUAUAUGUGGCCCAAUGGGUUUAAAGAUCACUAGAAAUGGAAUGUUUUGCAACAUCCAGACAGACAGAUCUAUUUUUCUUCAUCUGAGCUAGAUUCUUUGUCCUCAGCCUGGCUAAGAGUUUUAUAGGCAUCACAAUCACUGGGCCAGUCCUUUGUAAUGAGGAUGAAAGACAGAACAAUCCCAAAAUACAUCCUCUAUCAGAGUAUCAGGUCAGAAUAUAAACAGGUAGAUGGGCAGAAAGAAAAUGGGGAAGCUACCUUUAAAAACAGCAGACAAAUCUCAUAAGGUAGCUCUCUGCUUCGCCUUGAACUGAGAAACUAAAACCACCGCUUAGCAAUUUUAUCUUUUCCUCUCCACCAUACUAUUUUUGGUUUGUAGCUAUUGUGCCUGGAUUAUUAAAUGCUUUCCUCGCUGAGCUGUCUUUUCUUCCUUUUCAAAAGCAAUCUGCAAAACACUGUCAGAUUAAUAUUCCAAAAAACUGUUUCACAUGAGCCGAUCAUUUAGCUCAGAAGUCCUUUAGAGUUUAAAGUACUAUGUAUAGAAUAAAGUUCAGAAUAAAAUUCAAGGUCCACCUGACCCUUCUGACUUUCAAAACCAUCCACUGCCUAUUUCCAAUACUCCACUGUACUCCUAUCUUCCUCUACACGUAUGUAUGCACGUUACAUCCUCUGCUCAGAGGAUACUAAUGAAAACAGUCCCCAAAACCCAUCAGCCACAUUCAUACCAGUCUGCCCUUAUUCAUACUAUUCUUUUAGGCUAAAAUGUUCUCCACCCCAGUCGCCAUCUAUACAAAGCUUAUUUCUUCUUAGAGAUGCAAUGCAAGUUCCACUGCUUGCCUCGUCAUUUCGGGCACAACGUAGAUCUUGCCUGCCCUGGACCUGAACAUUGUUGUUCUUGACAUUGCUUUGGGUUAUAUUCCAGGUAAACGAACUUUCUCUUCCCAAAAUGAGCAGCUUCUUCAGACAAAGACCAUUGGCUAUAUCUCUUAUAUAUUACAUGAUACCUAAUAUAGAUCUGUAAAUGUGCCUAUAUUUACACCUAUAUCCUAUUAAUAAAACCCAUUAUAAAUUGGUGACUUCUCAAAUUAUCAGUUGUAGAGUGUAUUCGUCUGUUGCAAGAUUGUAACAUUCAGACUUUACCCUGAAAAUCAACACAGUCACAAACUGAGUAUGCAGCAACAGCAAACACAUGCCAGAUCUUUAUAAAGAAAAAAAAAAUACUAAACUAGAACCAACUUGUUGAGGAUUCAGAAGAGAACUACGUCUUCUGAUACAUUAUUUUUCCUGGGCUUUUAAACUCUUUACAGUGGCUCUUAU